AUACGUAGGGGGCGAGCGUUGUCCGGAAUGAUUGGGCGUAAAGGGCGCGUAGGCGGCCCGGUAAGUCUGGAGUGAAAGUCCUGUUUUUAAGAUGGGAAUUGCUUUGGAUACUGUCGGGCUUGAGUGCAGGAGAGGUAAGUGGAAUUCCCAGUGUAGCGGUGAAAUGCGUAGAGAUUGGGAGGAACACCAGUGGCGAAGGCGACUUACUGGACUGUAACUGACGCUGAGGCGCGAAAGUGUGGGGAGCAAACAGGAUUAGAUACCCUGGUAGUCCACGCUGUAAACGAUGAUGACUAGGUGUGGGGGGACUGAACCCUUCCGUGCCGCAGUUAACACAAUAAGUCAUCCACCUGGGGAGUACGGCCGCAAGGUUGAAACUCAAAUGAAUUUACGGGG
rnacentral:rRNA from 1 species